UGCUGCAACUGUUGUAGCCCUGAGCACCUGUGCAGGCCCACCAAGCUUUGGGAACACCAGAGCAAAGUGCAGCAGGAAGGAGACCCAAUUCGGUACAACAGACAACAAAUGCUGUUUGCAGCACCUGCAAAACUCAUUUAUUUCAACAUGAUAUCAGCUUGUUCCUGAUGAAUUACAGCAACAUAGAUUCUCUGAAAAUGCAGAUGUCUUCAAGAAGAGGUGGCACUUCAAGCAAGUGGCCAUUUAAACCUCAGGGAGAAGGAUUUAUAAGCAGGUUUUAAUAGGACCGUAUAGUUCUUGCUCAAUACACCUUUGCUAAGUGAGUCUGCAAGAAUUCUACACGUUAAAAUUUGAGAGAAAGAAGAAGUCAUACCCAGAGGAGCUACGACAUAGGACUCAUAGAAAGAAAACAACAGUGCAACAAAAAGUAAACGACACAGCAGCAGAGGAGCAGUUCAGAUCUCUAGUCACACAUAAUACACCCGUUUUUCAAGGAUGGAGGAGGCUGGCAGAGAGGAGAAGAGAGGAGCAGCUGGGAAAGGUGGCGUUGUGAGGAGGACACUGGCUGAAACGUGAUCUAAACUCACUUCAAGAAGAAAAGUACAUGCCUGGAAUUGAAACCAAGAGCAGUCUUCCCACCCGGGAGGCCCCUGGCCCUCAUGGAAGGUGAUUCCUUUGGGCUUGGUUGGAGGCCAGCCUUGACAGAACAGCACGGGAGGUGAUGCCUCCCCUACUUCCUGGCUAGCUCUCCUCUCUGCCCUUUCUCCCAGCCUAGACCUCCCCGCUGUUCACGCCAGUUGCCUCUGCCCAACAUGACAAUGAUCUAGACUCUGGUGACUGAAGCAAGCUUUGGUUUCUGCCUCCAAAUGGGUGCGUCUCUUGCUAAGCCCUGAGUCUUUGCUUUGGCGUAUGCCCGCUUCCUUUGCCGCCCUUUCUGUUCUUCUCAGUUUACGGAUCAUCUAUGUGGUUUUUCUCCCAAAGGUCUGGCGGUCAUGUGGGAGUCGGUCUGCUGAGCUCUGUCCUCUUCCUUGUUUUCCCCAAGAUGACCAUAAAGUCCCUUUUGGUUUCAAGGGUUUACUUUUAAGAACUAAAGAAUAAAAACAGCCAAAAAAUAACU